rnacentral:rRNA from 1 species
UACGGAGGGUGCGAGCGUUGUCCGGAAUCACUGGGCGUAAAGGGCGCGUAGGCGGCCUGAUAAGUAGGGGGUGAAAUCCUGCGGCUUAACCGCAGGGCUGCCUUCUAAACUGUCAGGCUUGAGCACAGUAGAGGCAGGUGGAAUUCCCGGUGUAGCGGUGGAAUGCGUAGAGAUCGGGAGGAACACCAGUGGCGAAGGCGGCCGGCUGGGCCUUGACUGACGCUGAGGCGCGACAGCGUGGGGAGCGAACCGG